GAAUUUUUUUUAAAUCUACCUUACUCAUUAACCCAAAUUAUUAUUAUUAUUUUAACCAGAGCUUAUUUGUGUGGGUUUCUCCCAUCAUCCCCAUAUAAUGUCACUUAUUUGUGUUUUAGUGGAAGAAAUGAAGAAAAAACAACCAAAUGCGGCACUCUCAUUUCACAAAUGAUGGACCAAUCAUUCCCACUAUGCAGACAAGAAAUUGUAAAAACCAAGGGCCUGCUAUACAGAACAUGGUUGAACGAUGGCCAGCACUUUUCACAGAAAGACAGGUGUUUGCUGAGUUUAAUAGAAUCGCCAGUAAGAAUCUUGAGGGAGACUUGAGGCUUUGGACCAGUAUGCCCCACGUUUCAUCGAACUUUUCAAAACAAAAAGGGAACUGUUGGCUAGAAACUCAAGGAGCUGAUGCAGCACAUGAGCUGGCUGACACCAGGCUCUAGAAUGCAUCACUGUUGGUGUCCUACCGGGUUUGUCAGUGAAGAUAGUCCUCACGAGGGUCAAAGCUUAGUGGUCCUCCAGCCCAUCUCCACUGCCAUCAUUCUGGAGGGAGGUAUUGUUAUGGAUAAUGUUAAGGACUUGCCUCAAGUCUUUUGUUUGGGCUUACCCAAAAUGCAUGGCAAAUACACUCAACUUUAUUUAGACUGUGAUGCUUGGACUGGGAAAGAAAAACCUCCCAUCAAAACGGUUGACUCUGAAUAACAGUCUUCUGGGUUAAAGAGCUGUCCGAUAGAACUUUGUAAGCUUUGCAGCCAUUAAUGUUCUCCUGUUAUUAGAUACAGUUUGAUGCUUUCAUGCAACUGUAUUUGCUUCUGAUCUUAAUAAAAAUAAGAAAUUCCAUUAAAGUCUGUAAUGAUAUCCAGGUAUGCUAAAGUUGGAAAUAGAGCCACAGUGUUUUAUUAAGAGUUGUUAGUUGUUAUUAGAUGAUAAUGUCAGAAAAUAACCUACCACGGUUGUCCUGUCUACAUUUGUGUUUUAGGAAAGCUUUUUAUAGUUGAAUGUCGUACAAAUACAAACCCCAAGGAGUGAUGUUUUUGUUUGUUGCUUUAAUCCUUUCACUGCUCACUUUGGGACACAAAAGCAUUUGUUGUACUUUCAGUUAAAAAUGCAAUUUUUAACUGAAUGCAAUUUUUUAAUGUAAAAAAGUUACAUUUUAACUGUCUACAGUUAAAUCAACCACAACUUUGUUUAGCUGCUGUUAUGUACAUAAAUGUGCAUUGAAUAAAUGUUGUAAUGUAGCUGAAUCAAGUGAGUGUUCUUUUAAAUUAUAUGUUUGGGAUGUGUUUAUUAGAUCGUAACAACAAAACAAGGACCCA